AUGGCGACCGGAGGCGGGCUCGGCCGGGAACGGCGGGCACGUGCCCUCUCAGGGCGAGCUGCAGGCGGGUGCAGCCAGGGGCGCCAGUGUGGGCGGCACGGGGCGUGCGCUUGUGGCUGCUGCGACAGGAGGCAGCAGCGCAGCAGCAUAGGGGCGCUGGCGGGGGCGAGCAGCGCACGGACUGGGCGUCGCGUGGGCGUGGUGCAACGUGGCCGAAACGCCUGGGCACGUGGCCAGGGGCGCGGUGAGCACGAGCUCACAGAGAGCUCCGGCACGGUGGAGGCGCGCGGCAAGGCUCUGGUGGCCAUGAACAUCAUGCCACGGUUAGGGCUGGCAUGGAAGUACUCCAUCGACGUGGGUGUGGUUGUGGUGGACGCCGACUACAGGGGAACCGUCGGCGUCAUCCUCUUCAACCACCCCGGCAUCGACUUCCUAGUCAUCAAUAGAAUCACCACGCCCGACGUCGCCGAGGUGGACGACCUCGAUGCCACCUUGAGGGGUGAGGGAGGCUUCGGAUCCACUGAUGUUUGA
rnacentral:rRNA from 1 species